GCUAAUACCGCAUAAGAGUAAUUAACACAUGUUAGUUAUUUAAAAGGAGCAAUUGCUUCACUGUGAGAUGGACCUGCGUUGUAUUAGCUAGUUGGUGAGGUAAAGGCUCACCAAGGCGACGAUACAUAGCCGACCUGAGAGGGUGAUCGGCCACACUGGGACUGAGACACGGCCCAGACUCCUACGGGAGGCAGCAGUAGGGAAUCUUCGGCAAUGGACGGAAGUCUGACCGAGCAACGCCGCGUGAGUGAAGAAGGUUUUCGGAUCGUAAAGCUCUGUUGUUAGAGAAGAACGUUGGUAGGAGUGGAAAAUCUACC
rnacentral:rRNA from 1 species